AUUGAACGCUGGCGGCAUGCCUUACACAUGCAAGUCGAACGGCAGCACGGGAGCAAUCCUGGUGGCGAGUGGCGAACGGGUGAGUAAUAUAUCGGAACGUGCCCAGUCGUGGGGAUAACGUAGCGAAAGCUACGCUAAUACCGCAUACGAUCUAUGGAUGAAAGCGGGGGAUCGCAAGACCUCGCGCGAUUGGAGCGGCCGAUAUCAGAUUAGGUAGUUGGUGAGGUAAAGGCUCGCCAAGCCGACGAUCUGUAGCUGGUCUGAGAGGACGACCAGCCACACUGGGACUGAGACACGGCCCAGACUCCUACGGGAGGCAGCAGUGGGGAAUUUUGGGACAAUGGGCGCAAGCCUGAUCCAGCAAUGCCGCGUGCAGGAUGAAGGCCUUC
rnacentral:rRNA from 1 species